rnacentral:lncRNA from 1 species
CGAAAUUUGUCUAUAAAAAUAAUUACUUGGUGCUUGCCUUUAAUUGUUAGGCUCUUUGGCUAAUUUCCAGCAUAUUGCUCAGGGCAUAUUAUGCCUUAAUAAAACAGUGGGCUCAUGUAAGAAAAGCAGUAGUGGUAUUUGGAGGGUGGAAAUUGAUUCAAGAAAGUGUUGCUUCUAAGUUUAUAGGAGAAAGUUUAGUGUUACACUUAUUUGCUUCCACCUAAAUUUUCAGCAGAAACUCUUUGGAAGCAAUUAUGAUUCAUUUUAUGAGAAAAUGGCACGUUAGCACCUUGUUCCCUAAAGAACAAAGCCUAAACUGAAUGAAGUAUAGUAGAUUUCCUGCUGAAUGCGUACUUUUUUUUCUUUUUUUUUUCUUUUUCUUUUUUUUUUUUUUUUUAAUUCAGCUGUCUACCAUUUUAACUUUGGCUUGUAUGUACUCUAGUUGCCCUGGUAUUUCUCUAUAGCUUUAGAAAUGUAUUGAAACUAUGCUAUAAUUGCUGAGGGACAAAAAUAAAUGGAUGUAAAACAAGAUCCUCCACACCAGUGUCAUUCUUGGAGUACAUGUGUUUGAAGUCUAGUGCAUAACUGCUUUGCUAAGGGGUUUUUAUAACAUGGCUGUAAAAACCUGUUCUAAGACGCAUGAUGUCUUGGCCAUAGAGUCAAUGUCUCUUUUUAAUAAAUAUAUAUAUAUUUAAAUUCAAGGAUUCUUAAAGAGAAGUCUGAAUUUCUUUGAUUUUUUUCCCUUUGUUGAACUAUAUGUGUACAUAUGAAGAAAACAAUCGCCAGUAAAGUUCUCCCAUUUUUUCUCAACCUGCUCAGCUGAAACUUUUGUGUUUGUUCCUCGCUCAGCUGGUGUUGUUUCCUGAAAUGCUUCCAGUUCCUGGUGGUGCAGAAUCACUUCUACCACAGCAGCCAGGAUCCUUGGCUGGGACUUUGUAAUUCCAUAACUUGGCUUGACUUGGAGUUGCUUUCCAAGCCUAAUACCAGUACAGUUUCAAAAAUAAGUCUUAAGAAGAUCAGUUACGUGGCCUGCUGUUCUGCUCGCAGCAGUCCAGUGUGUGCUAAAACGUGGUUCCAACAACGCCGCUUUUCAACCACGCGGUUUAAGAAGACGGGAAUCUGCCUGGGUUUGGAAUGGUGGAAAUGGAGCUUUGAGCUGCUUCCUCCUGCAAAAGGAUUGUGCCACAGCAUCUGUCCCCACUUCGUCCCCGAGGGGCUGGCUGGUCACUCCCAUGCGAUUGUAGAAUACCCUCUUUUUUGUGUCAGGAAAACGGAGGGGUUGGGUGUUCAUGACCGGUGAAGCAAUUAGAAUGCAUGUGCCCAGGUGCAUAGAUGAACUUCAGCAGCUCAGAGAGAACCUGCUGGUUACUGAACACCUCAGAGCAACUUGGAUUUCAGCCGUGUUCCAAAGAGUACUUAAGUGUUCUGCAUAAAGUAGACUAAUGUCAAAAGGGGAAAAUAAAUAUACUCCAGUUCCAGCA